ACGGGUGAGUAGUACAUCGGAACGUGCCCGAUCGUGGGGGAUAACGGAGCGAAAGCUUUGCUAAUACCGCAUACGAUCUACGGAUGAAAGCAGGGGACCGCAAGGCCUUGCGCGGACGGAGCGGCCGAUGGCAGAUUAGGUAGUUGGUGGGAUAAAAGCUUACCAAGCCGACGAUCUGUAGCUGGUCUGAGAGGACGACCAGCCACACUGGGACUGAGACACGGCCCAGACUCCUACGGGAGGCAGCAGUGGGGAAUUUUGGACAAUGGGCGAAAGCCUGAUCCAGCCAUGCCGCGUGCAGGAUGAAGGCCUUCGGGUUGUAAACUGCUUUUGUACGGAACGAAAAGCCUCUUUCUAAUAAAGAGAGGUCAUGACGGUACCGUAAGAAUAAGCACCGGCUAACUACGUGCCAGCAGCCGCGGUAAUACGUAGGGUGCGAGCGUUAAUCGGAAUUACUGGGCGUAAAGCGUGCGCAGGCGGUGAUGUAAGACAGAUGUGAAAUCCCCGGGCUCAACCUGGGAACUGCAUUUGUGACUGCAUCGCUGGAGUGCGGCAGAGGGGGAUGGAAUUCCGCGUGUAGCAGUGAA
rnacentral:rRNA from 1 species